GCGAACGCUGGCGGCAUGGCUAAAGCAUGCAAGUCGAACGAUUAAAGCCCCGUUCGGGGGUGUAUAAAGUGGCGAAAGGGCGAGGAAUACGUUUCCACGUACCCCGAGGUCGAGGAUAGCCCAGGGAAACUUGGUGUAAUACUCGAUGUGGUCCUUCGGGAUCAAAGGCUUCGGCCGCCUUGGGAGCGGGGAACGCCCUAUCAGGUUGUUGGUGAGGUAACGGCUCACCAAGCCGGAGACGGGUAGCGGGUGUGAGAGCACGACCCGCCGCAUCGGGACUGAGACACUGCCCGGACUCCUACGGGAGGCUGCAGCAACGAAUCUUCCGCAAUGCGCGAAAGCGUGACGGAGCAAUGCCGCGUGCAGGAUGAAGCCCUUCGGGGUGUAAACUGCUGUCAGGGUUCAGCAACACAAUGAGCAGACCCAAAGGAAGGGCCGGCUAACUUCGUG
rnacentral:rRNA from 1 species